GGCGUAGAGGGCUCGCAGGCGGUUUCUUAAGUCUGAUGUGAAAGCCCCCGGCUCAACCGGGGAGGGUCAUUGGAAACUGGGGAACUUGAGUGCAGAAGAGGAGAGUGGAAUUCCACGUGUAGCGGUGAAAUGCGUAGAGAUGUGGAGGAACACCAGUGGCGAAGGCGACUCUCUGGUCUGUAACUGACGCUGAGGAGCGAAAGCGUGGGGAGCGAACAGGAUUAGAUACCCUGGUAGUCCACGCCGUAAACGAUGAGUGCUAAGUGUUAGGGGGUUUCCGCCCCUUAGUGCUGCAGCUAACGCAUUAAGCACUCCGCCUGGGGAGUACGGUCGCAAGACUGAAACUCAAAGGAAUUGACGGGGGCCCGCACAAGCGGUGGAGCAUGUGGUUUAAUUCGAAGCAACGCGAAGAACCUUACCAGGUCUUGACAUCCUCUGACGAUCCUAGAGAUAGGACGUCCCCUUCGGGGGCAGAGUGACAGGUGGUGCAUGGUUGUCGUCAGCUCGUGUCGUGAGAUGUUGGGUUAAGUCCCGCAACGAGCGCAACCCUUGAUCUUAGUUGCCAGCAUUCAGUUGGGC
rnacentral:rRNA from 1 species